ACUCGCUCUCAUGUGCUUUGAUAUUUGUAUAAUUUGUUCACGAGGUCAUUAUGAAGAUAAUAAAAGAAUGAAGUAUGUCGGAGUAGGUACAUCGAUAAUCAUGUGUUGUCAUCAAUAUGGGAUUAUACACGAGCAUCAAUUAGUUUAGCGUGUCGUGGUUCACGUUUCACUCUGAUAAUAUUGUGAAGUCUUUGCUCAGUCUGUAAAGCGUCUUGAGAUAACUACAUGCCACUACAGGCUGACUAAUGUCGUGAGGGCUGCUGGGCAGACUGCUCUGUCCGAUCUAUUGACAGAUACAAGCACGUGUACCUCUACUGGCACAUACAAUUGGAUAUGUCAUUUUCUCUGAGUGACCUCUAUUUCCAUGAGUUUCAGGACCUUCUCAUGUUUGACCCGCCCCCUCUCCGCCGGUCUCCAGCUCCUUCUCCUCCUCCUCCUCCGGCUGCUCCGUGCGUCGUCCGGCCACACUCCCAGCUCAGCCGUCUCUGGCUUCGUCCUCCAAACCACCACUCGCUCUUUGCUCUCGGCCUUCGCCUACCGGACGCCUCGUCGCCCCGCACAGGGCACACUGGACCUUCCUGUGCGACAGGAAAGGAGACUGCAGCAGCAGUAUUUAACGUGACGUCACACGCAAAACUAGAAGAAGAAGAUGGACUGAGGGACACAAGUCAUCAUGUAAGUGACAGACGCACGUCAACAACAUCCACCGUCACAUAAUAUUACGUAGUAUAGUGUAAGUGGAGUCGGAUUCCCUGAGCACCUUUUGUGGAUAGGAAAAGGCGACGGGGAGAACUUUUCGAAUCCACCCCAUGGGUGAGGUCGAAUUAUCAAAUUGGCUCAGGAAGUUUCCUAAAUCUUGACGUGACCCGGAAGUAUUGGAUCAGCAGCCAUGAUGAGAGCUGUUCAGAUUCUCUAAAUGCAUAGGAAAGGAGCUUCAAUGCUUCCUUUCCUAUCUCCUUUAGCAUAGGGUCCACUGGAGCUUCCUACGUGAGAGUAAGGAGAUACGGACGCCCCCACAAUUCAUUGCGGCAGCGAUAUUUAACGUGACGCGCCGCGCACGGACGUCAACGAUUCAAUCCGAAGUAGAAGUAGAAGAAGGAGACAUCCGGCGUCACAUUAUGACGUAGUACAGUGAAAGUCGAGUCGGGUUCUCUGAGCACCGCUGUCCUGAGGCCUAUCAGUCCUCCUUUACACCUUUCCUUGAGCUCAUGACGUUUUCCACUGAGGUCAAGGAUUAGCAGAUGGGAAAGACAACUCGACCUCACCUCAUGUGAUCCACUGCAGAUGGUUCCUUUACAAAAAAAACUGGCAAACAUCUCUGCCACCCUGGGUCACCCAACACACACCGGAACAGCAGGCGCUUACCAGUAACUCCUCUUUUUUUUAUUUUAAACACAAUCAAGUGCUGCAGGUGAGAAAUAAAAUGGUAGUUGAGAGGGAUUGUCAGGCCGCUUGUUUUGAAGCGAGUGUAGGAGCGCGCAUGCCUCACUGAGAUUAAAAACAUCGAGUGAAUAUAGAUUGUUCAUUUUUCUUUGGGAUAUUUGAUUCUGAAAAGCUGUGAGGAACGAAACAAUGCUUUCUUACUCAGGAGGUCAGACUCAUGCAGUCUGGGAGCAUUUCACUGGGAUUGUGGUAGGCAUUGAUUGUGGUAUUGAUCGCUAUGGAUUGGAGACAAUUCACAAGAAGCCUCCCUUUCAUUUGCCACGGAAAAUAGCAGAAGCCCGUGCAAAUAAUCGCAAAUAUAGCAUCGCGCAGAAAGACUUUUUUCUCAACCAGUAAGCUGAAAAAAAUAUUACACAUUGUGAACGACUAGUGUUGAACAUUGCACUGUUGCUGGUCUGCUCUCUCUGCGGCCAUUUCACCACAACGACCCUCCGCCUCAGCCAAUCAUACAACUCCAGG
rnacentral:lncRNA from 1 species